AGGUGUAUCUUGAUUCAACAGUCUUGAAUGUGGAGGGAUGGGAGGAAGAUCUCUGAAGAUUUAUGAGCCUACCGUGGUGAGAAGAUAUAAUGGAGAUAUUUCUGAUGAUGAUUUAUGGAGUCAACCAGCAUCAAUCUAGAACAACUGAUACCUUUCCAGCACAGGGCUAUAUAGGGUUUCAAUAUCCCAGUGAAGAGAUCUCCAGUGUUUAGAGUUGGGCAAGAUCUACUGUGUCAUCUCAAUAUCUUACUUCAGUACCUAGGAGCACCAGACUGCAACUCAUCACCUCCCAAU